rnacentral:lncRNA from 1 species
GAAGGGAACGACUCGGACACCUCUUGCUUUGUCGGGGUCUUGUGUGGAUCCUUACUGUGGUAGGUGGUUGCAGUCCGUGUGGUUGGUGACAGCGGAGGUCUCUGCUGGUUCGUGGUUCAGAUCCUUUUUGCUUGAUUCGGGUUGGAGAUUCAUAAGGCCUGGGCUUUGUAGUGGUCUUUGCGGUGGUUUUAGAAUGGUGGUUUGGGUCCGACACUGGUGAAGAGAUACAAUUUCUGAUUGCUUGAAGAAUCUCUUGUUUGCGGUUCUUCCGUUAGGGUUAUGCUUUGUUAGUUCUUGUGGGGUUUGAGAUGUGGCUUGUCUUCCUUUGAAGUUUAGUGGUGUGUGAAGUGCCUUCUCAACGGAUUAGGAUAUGGGGAGGCUAUAUGUUCCGGACUUGGUAUCUUUAAGCCGUUCAUUCUUCUUGGUCGUAGCUUUUGAUCAGGUGUGCUCAUGCUUCUCCUCGUUCUCGUGAGCCGUUGGUAAUCUGUGUUUGUCAGGGUCUCUUUUGUUGGGUUCGUCUCUUGGAUGGUAAUCUGUUGUGUAGGCAUCUACUUGCUUCUUCUCUAUGGUGUGAGGUAUCAAGACGAAGCUAUGGGUUCGAUCUUCGGCUCUUCUCUUGCGAGGACGUGACCACUCUCUUGCUUUGUAGAUGGUUGAGUUUGGGUACACGAGGGUCCGCGUGCAAGAGCUGCUGAUCCUUUUAGACGUUUUCCCCGCUUGGAGUUUCAAGGUUCGACCUUGUGCCUUUCCUCUCUUGGGUUGUUCGUGGUCUUAUUGCAGACGCGGUAGUGGUUGCUAUUGGCUCCUUUUGCGCCUCGGUUUUUUAUUGUUUCCGCCGGUGUUGUUUCUCGUGAGGUUGUGGUUGUGACCUUGAUGGAUUGUGGUCUUCUCAAGUCUCUGUUUUUGAGUUCAACUCGUGCGUCUUCAGGUUCUUGGUUAUGAUUGGCGACCUGGUGCUGUUAUGGAUUUCGGUUUGAGUUCCUUUGAUCUUUAAGUAUUUCAAGUCAUUAUCCCUUGUUUGUGUUAGUCUCUAGAGUAAGGUUUCUAUUUAUGUUUUUAAUAUGGGUCUCUGGGAUGUUCGAUAUGUGAAAUCGCCGGCUAUGGUCUUCGGAAGAGUUGCGACUCUUGUCGACUUUUGUCAUGUAACGAUGGUACUUCAGUCUAAGCUAAAUGAAAUUCAAAGAUGACA